rnacentral:rRNA from 1 species
GAUGAACGCUGGCGGCGUGCCUAAUACAUGCAAGUCGAGCGAACGGACGAGAAGCUUGCUUCUCUGAUGUUAGCGGCGGACGGGGGAGUAACACGUGGAUAACCUACCUAUGAGACUGGGAUAACUUCGGGAAACCGGAGCUAAUACCGGAUAAUAUUUUGAACCGCAUGGUUCAAAAGUGAAAGACGGUCUUGCUGUCACUUAUAUAUGGAUCCGCGCUGCAUUAGCUAGUUGGUAAGGUAACGGCUUACCAAGGCAACGAUGCAUAGCCGACCUGAGAGGGUGAUCGGCCACACUGGAACUGAGACACGGUCCAGACUCCUACGGGAGGCAGCAGUAGGGAAUCUUCCGCAAUGGGCGAAAGCCUGACGGAGCAACGCCGCGUGAGUGAUGAAGGUCUUCGGAUCGUAAAACUCUGUUAUUAGGGAAGAACAUAUGUGUAAGUAACUGUGCACAUCUUGACGGUACCUAAUCAGAAAGCCACGGCUAACUACGUG